AUGUUCUGUACCUGUCGACGUAAUUUAAUUAGUAUAUUUUUUUUUACGGUGAAGUCAAAUUGGUGCAAUUAUAAAAGAAUUUUUUAAUUUCUUCUUUUUUAUAAGAAUAAAAUCGCGAAAAACCUACAUAAGUAUUUAGUUAAAAAUUGUGCAAAAUUAAAUUUGAGGCAAUUGAAAGUUUUAAAGUAAGAGUUCUAAAAUAAAUGGCUAAAGGCAAAGGUGGUGGUGGAGGAGGAGGUGGCGGAGGAGGAGGUGGAGCUGGCGGUGGCGGUGGAAAUAAAAAAGGUGGUGGCAAAAAUGAAAGUAAAAAUCCAAAUCAAGGUGAUAAGUCAAAAGGUGGAGCGAAAAAUGAAAACAAAGGGGGCGGAGGUGGAGGAGGUAAAAAAGGUGGCAAGAAAUAGGUCAAAAGUUAUGAUUAUACUCAGAGUUGCGAAUACCGAUUGUGAUAAUUUAUUUUCUUUAUAAUAUUUAUAAAAAUUUACAAUAUUAUGAAUAGAUAAAUAAAUAUGGAACUAAUUUUAAAAUAUAAAUAAAUUGUUAAAAAUUUUGAAAAUCAAUUUUAAGGAAGUUAUCAACAGGAAAUGCUAAUUAAUUUGCUAGAAACGAAAAAUAAUUUAAUGAAUAUGAUUAGGAAAAUAUUUAUUUAUGUAAAAUUGAAAUCAUUUAAAUUAUCUGAUUAAAAAAAACAAACUAAUUUGAUUUAUCAAUUUGGGAUUGAAGUUAAAAUAAAACGAAUGUUAAUUUUCAUUCUGAAUAACAUAGCCCACACUAUGCAUUCGUUUUCAUAUGUUAUUUUAGAAACU